rnacentral:snRNA from 1 species
GUACUUGCUUCAGCAGCACAUAUACUAAAAUUGGAAUGAUACAGAGAAGAUUAGCAUGGUCCUUGCACAAGGAUGACACACAAAUUCAUGAAGCAUUCAAUAUUUUU